AGGUGCUGCACGGCUGUCGUCAGCUCGUGUCGUGAGAUGUUGGGUUAAGUCCCGCAACGAGCGCAACCCUCGUCACUAGUUACUAACAGUUAGGCUGAGGACUCUAGUGAGACUGCCUUCGUAAGGAGGAGGAAGGUGAGGACGACGUCAAGUCAUCAUGGCCCUUACGGCUAGGGCAACACACGUGCUACAAUGGUUAGGACAGUGAGAAGCGAUACUGCGAGGUGGAGCCAAUCUAUAAACCUAAUCUCAGUUCGGAUUGUAGUCUGCAACUCGACUACAUGAAGCUGGAAUCACUAGUAAUCGUAGAUCAGCUAUGCUACGGUGAAUACGUUCCCGGGUCUUGUACUCACCGCCCGUCACACCAUGGGAGUUGAUUUCACCCGAAGCGGGGAAGCUAAACUGGCUACCCUCCACGGUGGAAUUAGCGACUGGGGUGAAGUCGUAACAAGGUA
rnacentral:rRNA from 1 species